UACGUAGGGGGCAAGCGUUGUCCGGAUUUAUUGGGCGUAAAGAGCGUGUAGGCGGCUAGGUAGGUCCGUUGUGAAAACUCGAGGCUCAACCUCGAGACGUCGAUGGAAACCAUCUAGCUAGAGUCCGGAAGAGGAGAGUGGAAUUCCUGGUGUAGCGGUGAAAUGCGCAGAUAUCAGGAAGAACACCCGUGGCGAAGGCGGCUCUCUGGUACGUGACUGACGCUGAGACGCGAAAGCGUGGGGAGCGAACGGG
rnacentral:rRNA from 1 species